rnacentral:rRNA from 1 species
UACGUAGGGUGCAAGCGUUAUUCGGAAUUACUGGGCGUAAAGCGUGCGCAGGCGGCUUUGCAAGUCAGAUGUGAAAUCCCCGGGCUUAACCUGGGAACUGCAUUUGUUACUGCAUGGCUGGAGUGCGGCAGAGGGGGAUGGAAUUCCGCGUGUAGCAGUGAAAUGCGUAGAUAUGAGGAGGAACACCGAUGGCGAAGGCAAGCCCCUGGGCCUGCACUGACGCUCAUGCACGAAAGCGUGGGGAGCAAACAGG